rnacentral:lncRNA from 1 species
GAACUGGAUGUUGGCAGAAAUGACGCCAGAGGAGGGGACGUAGAUUGGAAGAACAGGAAUAAGGUUUGAGGGAGUAGAAGUCAUACAGUGGGGAAAGAGUAGGUUGAGUAUGAAUGAGGAAAAGGGAGAGGAGACUGUGAUCAGAGAAUGGAUUUUAUAGAUGAGGAAACACACAGAGAGACUGUUGAUAAAGAUUUAUAUAUAUAUUUUUAACAUUUGUCUUAAAUUUUUUUUUGAGUUCCAAAUUCUUUCCCUCCCCUUAGUCUCUCCUCUCCCCAUUGAGAAGGCAAGCAAUAUGUUGUCCAUUAUACAUGUGAAGGGCAGACCAGGGAGGAUAUCCUUCCACCUUCCUUCAGGGUUGACCCAGCAACUCGCAUUGGCUGAAACUGGUUCUGAAGAAUGA